ensembl:lncRNA
CUCUUCCUGGAGAUCACUCCUUGUGGAGUUUUUGUGAGCCUACAACAUUGGAAGUUGGAAGGUACCUAUGGAGAUCAACAAGUCCAACAUCCUUCCACAAAGUGAGAGGGGUCAAGUAGAACAGGUGGCUUACAGCUGCAUCCAGUUGGGUUUGAACAUCUCCAAGAGUGAAGACUCCAUAACCUCACCAGAUGAAGUGUUCUGGUAUUUCAUUGCUUUCACAGUAAUGUAUAUAAAUAUAUAUUUAGUAUGUUUUAAUGAAAAUUCCUGUUUAUUGUCAUUGCCUUUUGUAUUUGCUUUAAGUAUCACUCAAAAGAACCUGACUCUCUAUUCUUUAUCAUACAGUUACCAUGUUUCUUAUGCUUAGUGUUCAACCCUCCCUAAGUCCUCUCUUCCCCAGGCUAAACAACCUCAUCUUUCUCAACAUCUCCCACUGUUUUUUGGUUGGUUGGUUUGUUUUUGUGGUCCUUCAUUUACACUCUUCAGUAUAUCCACAUCUCUCCUAUGCAUUGCACUGAUCCCAGCACUCCUGAUAUCUCAGCGCUGAUGAGCGCAGGGGAAGAUGUGGUCCCCUGAUCUGCUGCCAAUGCUUUUGCUAAAGCAACUCAGGAUGCUAUUCGCCUUCUUUGGUCAUAGGUGUGCCACAGAGGUACAUAGGUGGCUCCAGGUAAACUUAGCAUGUCACAGGAUAACUUAGUGUGUAGCAGGAAACAUGCAAGGUAUAAUUUAUGACCAGGUGCAAAAUACUGCAUUUCUAUUUUGAACUUCAUUGCAUUACUGUUUACCAUUUCUCCAGCCUGCUUAUGUCCUACUGAAAGGCAGAACAACCUGUUGGUUUGUCAGUAACUACUUGCACUUUUGUGUAGUCUGCAAACUUGCUGAGAGAGCACUCUGUACAAUCAUCCAGAUCAUUAAUAAAGCUAUUAAACAGUUUCGAGUGCUGAUGACUGGCCUUCAACUGAAUUUUGUGGUGCUGAUUAUAAUCCUUUAAGCCUGACAGUUCAGCCAAUUCUAAGUCUACAUUGCUGUCUGUUUACUUGCUCUAUAUGUCAUCAGUUUGUCAAUGAGGAUGUUAUAGGAAGUAAUGUCAAAAGCCAUGCGUAAGUUAAUUCUUCUGGUGCUAUGUCCUCUUAUCUGCUGAUGUCCUAUUGCAUACUCUGUUUUGUUUGUUUAUUUCAAAAUAAAAAGUCUAAUAUGGUGUUGUGAUUUAGUCUGUCAGGUAUCUAAGCACCAUGUAGCCAUU